ensembl:lncRNA
CUUUUUGAACCGGAGAGCCCUCCCCCGCGUCCUCCCCUCUCUCCUGGGCCGGAGGGUCCGCCGCUCGGUCUGCCCUCUGGGGCUCAGCGGCGGGCGGGUCCUCCCCGGGGGGGCCCGCCCCGUCCCCACAGCCCUCCCCACCGGGGACGGGGCGGGGGGACGCGGGGCCACCGGCCGGACGUUCGGGUCCAGCCGCGGAAGGUUGGAUGGAGGGUUGGGUGGAGGGUUGGAUGGAGGGUUGGGUGGAGGGUUGGAUGGAGGGUUGGGUGGAGGGUUGGGUGGAGGGUUCUAGGGAGGGUUGGGUGGAGGGUUGGGUCGAGGGUUGGGUCGAGGGUUGGGUCGAGGGUUGGGUGGGGGUGUUGGUGGAGCCGUCCUUCCGUGACGAACUG